rnacentral:rRNA from 1 species
UACAGGGGGUGCAAGCGUUGCUCGGAAUCACUGGGCGUAAAGCGUACGCAGGCGGACCGAUAAGUUGGGCGUGAAAGCCCGGGGCUCAACCCCGGAACGGCGCCCAAGACUGUGGGUCUUGAGUACGGGAGAGGUGAGUGGAAUUCCUGGUGUAGAGGUGAAAUUCGUAGAUAUCAGGAGGAACAUCAGUGGCGAAAGCGACUCACUGGCCCGAUACUGACGCUCAUGUACGAAAGCGCGGGGAGCAAACAGG